AUUGAACGCUGGCGGCAGGCCUAACACAUGCAAGUCGAGCGGAUGAAGGGAGCUUGCUCCUGGAUUCAGCGGCGGACGGGUGAGUAAUGCCUAGGAAUCUGCCUGGUAGUGGGGGAUAACGUCCGGAAACGGGCGCUAAUACCGCAUACGUCCUGAGGGAGAAAGUGGGGGAUCUUCGGACCUCACGCUAUCAGAUGAGCCUAGGUCGGAUUAGCUAGUUGGUGGGGUAAAGGCCUACCAAGGCGACGAUCCGUAACUGGUCUGAGAGGAUGAUCAGUCACACUGGAACUGAGACACGGUCCAGACUCCUAAGGGAGGCAGCAGUGGGGAAUAUGGGACAAUGGGCGAAAGCCUGAUCCAGCCAUGCCGCGUGUGUGAAGAAGGUCUUCGGAUUGUAAAGCACUUUAAGUUGGGAGGAAGGGCAGUAAGUUAAUACCUUGCUGUUUUGACGUUACCAACAGAAUAAGCACCGGCUAACUUCGUG
rnacentral:rRNA from 1 species